rnacentral:rRNA from 1 species
GAUGAACGCUGGCGGCGUGCCUAAUACAUGCAAGUUGUGCGGUAACAGAGAGAGCUUGCUCUCUGCUGACGAGCGGCGGACGGCAGAGUAACGCGUAGGAACAUACCCCAAACUGAGGGAUAACUGCUCGAAAGAGUAGCUAAUACCGCAUGUGGUCUUCGGAUUAAAGCUUCGGCGGUUUGGGAGUGGCCUGCGUCCGAUUAGCUAGUUGGUGAGGUAAUUGCUCACCAAGGCGACGAUCGGUAGCUGGUCUGAGAGGAUGAUCAGCCUGACUGGAACUGAGAACGGUCCAGACUCCUACGGGAGGCAGCAGUAGGGAAUUUUCCACAAUGGGCGAAAGCCUGAUGGAGCAACGCCGCGUGCAGGAUGAAUGCCUUCGGUUGUAAACUGCUUUUCUGUGUGAAGAAUAAUGACGGUAAACACAAGGAAUAAAGGGUCGGGACUAACUACGUGCAGCAGCCGCGGU